UACAAGAUGCCUCCAUCUGAUUUUUGUCAAUUUCUCCCUUCCACUGCAGAACCUAUACAUGCUCUCUGUGCUGAUGUAGAAGGUUCCCCCAACUGUCAGGAGCAGACUUUUGCUGGCACAGAAGGUUACAGUCAGGAGACGGGACAGAAAAGCACCUUAGCAUGAGUGGAGUUGCAUCAUCCUUCUCUUUAUCAAGCCUUAUGUUUAUUAUUUGUAAAUAAUGUGAAAAUUUGGCACAUACUCUGGGAUAGUCACCUUUGUCUUCCCAUAGUAGACUACACUAUCUGAGAGCAGGGAUUUUCCUAAAUCUGGGUCCCUGUUUCAUGGGUGAAGGGAACCUCUUGCCACAUGAAAAAGCCAGACUCUCCCUCGAAAGGUGCAGACUUCCUUCUGAUUCUUUCCCUUGUUCAAUUUUAAGUCCUGAGUUGACCUUGCUAUAGAAGCUUAUAGUUGGAGAGUAGGUGAGUGUCAUCCUUUAGCUAUUUAUCAUUAUGUACAGACAUGCUGCUGGUGCAUAGCCUUUGCAUUUACUGGAGGAAGUGUGAGAUACAAAUAAUAUGAUUCAAAUUCAAUGAAACCGCGGUUUGCCCCUAUUCCCAUGCUGCACUCCCAGAUGAUCCCGAUCUGGGAGCUUGGAAGAGAGGAGGAAUUGGCUGCUGCUUUCCAACUGGAGGUUUUGUGGCAAAACUGAAAAGGAACCGAGUGUCCCAAUUCAGAUUUCUGGCCGAAAAUCUUAGGUCACUUUUCUAAUAUGAGCCCCUGGUGGCGCAGUGGUAAAACUGCCGCCCUGUAACCAGAAGGUUACAAGUUCGAUCCUGACCAGGGGCUCAAGGUUGACUCAGCCUUCCAUCCUUCCGAGGUCGGUAAAAUGAGUACCCAGAAUGUUGGGGGCAAUAUGCUAAAUCAUUGUAAACUGCCUAGAGAGCUCCGGCUAUAAAGCGGUAUAUAAAUGUAAGUGCUAUUGCUAUUGCUAUUGCUAUAAUGGAACUGAGAUUCUCCGCAUCUGAAGACCACAAACCCAAACCUCAGGCAUGGUUGCCUCCAGUUUGGUGUGAUGUACAAAGGCGGCCAAUGUCUUUUAUAAUCCAGUGAACCAUCCUUACAGGCUUGCUACUGUUUUGUCCAUUUCAGCAUCUGAGGAAGUUAACUAUGAAUGUCAGGCUCUUACAAUAAAAAUGUAAGUCUUUAAGGUUCUACAAAGACCAGCAAUUUUUACAAGUAUAGUAAUUAGGAGUGAACUCAGACUCUGGUUAGCUGCCCAUGGCCAUUAAAUCAACAACAAUGGCUCAACUUGUUACCUUCUUUCCUGGUUUCUAAAAUAAAUUGAAUGUUUUGUUAUCACAGAGGGCAGAAGUCAUCACAACUCAAUUGAUUCUCAUACGUUUUAAUUAUUUCACCUGAUUUAUAAGUCAUUUUCAUUUGAAUAACCCUGCAUUUUAACGAUCUAAAAUAUUUCACAAGUUCUUGUUAAUGAUCUGUAGUAUUUGGAUCAUUAGACUGAAGAAAAGUCUAAUGCUCUUGUGUCAGAAUCUUAUCUUCUGAAUGCAUGAAAGCUCCUUCUACAGAACAGGGUAAAGGAUUACAUUACUAUUCAGUAUCCAAAAGUAAUUUUAGGUUGGAGUGCCAACUAUAAAUAAAAAUGAAACUAAUAAAAAUAAUACACAGUUCAAUACUAUGGAUCAUUACAGACUGGGCUAAAUCAGGGUCCCAUGGUGAUCAAACAAGUAAGCUUAAUAUUAGGACUAAAAAGUUGGGGUUCUUUGUUUUUUAGCAUGGCUGAGCUGCAAAUCAGGAAAUCCCUGAGCCAAAUUGCACCUCUGCCACACGGACCUAGGUUGGGACUCAUUGUCCCAACCCCUCAUCUGCAAUAUGGGGAUAAUAAUGACUAGCUUAACCCAUGCAGAGCAUCUGCACGCUAGUACUUGAUUGCUCCCCUCACCCCCUGCCACAGCCCCCCUCACCUCAAAGAUCUCUUUACCCUCACCUGAGCUGCACUCCUGCUCCUCCUAAUCCAUCUGGUUGCUUCCAUCCCCCUUACUCCUCUUGGUCACUCCUCCAUCCCUUUAUUCCAUCCCCCUCACCCCUCUUGGUUGCAGCUCCAGUGUUGCUGGUGCCUAUUGGCCAAGCUGUAGCCCCCAUCCCCAGAGACCUCCCCACCCUCAUCCAAGCCCUGCUCCUGCUCUUCCCCACAGGAGCAGCGUCAGCAGCAGCAGCAGUUGACCGGGCCCUUCCUCACUGCCACCACAGCCAUGGCCACUUGUUCUCCUCAGGCUGCUGACAGGCCCAGGCCCAUCUCUUGCUUUCCUGCCUGCCUCCCUCCACCAAUGGCCUCAGCAGCCUCAAACAGCAGCAGUGAUUGACUGGGCCCUUCCUUGCUGUCAAUAGGCACUGCCAUGUCUGCUUGUUCCCCUCAGGCCGCUGACAGGCUUGGGCCCAUCCCUCGCCCUUCCUUCUUUUUCUCUUCCCCUCCCUUCUUUUUCUCUCUUUCCUCCUCUCCUCCACACUCUCUUCCCCUCUGUCUUUCUUCCCCUUCCUUCAUCUCUCUCUCUCUCUCUCUCUCUCUCUCUUCCUGAGUUAACAGAUCUUGUUCAUCUUGUUUCCUCGUCUAAUUCACACAGUGAGAAGUCAGCCUCCUUCUCCUGAAGGGGCUCUUUCCUCCCUCACAACCCCUCUCUUUGGAGACUCCUGCCCACUAUCCUUUUAUAUAUAAGCAAAAUAUUCCUCAAAAUCACUGAAAGACCAACCCCUGAAAUCCAAUUGACAUUUUAAUAUCAGUAUAGACACAUUUAGACAGAAGCUCAGGGAUUUGGUGACCAAAAGCCCUUCUAAAGAAGAAAGAUUUCACAAGGUUCCUGGAGGACAAAAAAGAUCCAAGCAACCAGAUGGACUUGCCUUUGUGGGGAAUUUAGGACACAGCUAAUGAGAAUGCUCUUGAUCUGAGAGUAUCUUGCCACAUUUCAUUUGGAAAAGAUCUGCUGGGCAGAUCUGCUGUGAGGCAGAGCAAUUAUUUAUUUAUCAUAUUUAUAUACCACCUGAUAUGUGUAUCUCUAUGUGGUGUUUGGAUGUGAAAGAGAGAUGGCGGAGGGGGGGACCAAUCAGUCCAGGAUGCUCCAGAUCAAAUAUAUAAAAAACUGAAAAGAGGCUGCUAGUCCCCUCCCUUUCCCAUUCUCUCUCUCUCUCUCUCUCUCUCCUUCUCUCUCUCCUCCUCAGCUCUCAACCCUCCAGCAAGCAUUCAGAAUUCCUACCUCCUUAGCAUUUCUCACAGUCCACAAAACUGCAAUAGUUUAUGGUGCUCAGGGGUUGUUUGUUUUCUCUUUCAUUCUUGACGUUCUUGCAAUAAUGAUCAGUGGCCAAAAUGAGAUUGGAUAUAAUCAUAGACUAUUCUCCUGAGUUUUGUCUUGGGCUGUGGUAUUAUGACGCUUAGAAAAAGCAGUGAUGACCCAGGCAAAUGCCAUCAUGUAGAAGGUACUUUGGCUUAUCACUUUGCCUUGUAAAAUUGGAAUUCAGUGCCACAUGCUAGAGUUUUAAACUUUUCUCUCUCUGAACAAGCUGCCUCUUUAGUAUGCAAAAGCAGUACUCCAGUAGCAAGAACCUAUUUCCCCAGAACACACAUUUUGGAAAGUCACACAAGGCAAGAUCUUCAAAGUGGGAAACACACACAAUAUUCUCUACUUGUCAUGCAUGAGUUUUCCCCAUACCUGGCAUCACUGGAGCACAAUCAGUUCAAUAGAGUUUAGUAAACAGCUUCAUAAAUCACCUGAGUUCUGACAUACAUUCUGAUUCAAAGCUGAUUUAUCCCUAGGUCACUUAGAAAACAUAUCUCAGUCACUGAUAGUUGAGGAGGAGGCUAUUUGUUUGAUGCAGAUAUAUCUGUGAGAGUAAAUUCUAUGAAAACAACAAUCAUGAAUCUUCAUUUCUUAGGCCUUCAUCCCUUUUAAACUUAUUUUACCUUCUGAAUGUGCCAAAUUCCGCAAUAUGACAAGGGGAAAUGAUCAUCUCAUCAUGAGAAAAUUGUGUAAGGCUCAGAAUAGGAAAGCCAUGAAUGUGCCCGGUCUUCAACUCAGAUCUUGUGAAUGAGUGGUCUGCAGGAUUUAAACUGAGACACGGCUCACUCAAACUUAAUUCCAGGACACAUUUUCAAUUGAAUAACUUCUUCUAGGAACUUUAUAAAUAAUUGAAGACAAGCACAAGGGCUGCAGUCGGAAGGCAUAUUUUUAAAAUUAUUUAUUUAUUUAUUUAUUUAUUUAUUUAUUUGAUUUCUACCACCCUUCCAAAAAUGGCUCAGGGCAGUUUACAUUAAAAUAAAAACAAUUUAAAUCAAUUCAGUUAAAAUCAAAAACUAUAAAAACAAUAUAGCACCAAUUAACAAUUAAAACAUUUAAAACAGUUUUAAAACCUUGGAAAACCAGGCCAAACAUUUACAGUUUAAAAACAGUUUAAAAACCCUGGAAGGCCAGGCCAAAUAGAUAGGUUUUAAGGGCUCUCCAGAAGGCCAAUAAUGAAUUCAGAUUACGGAUUUCUGCAGGGAGUGCAUUCCACAGCCCAGCAUCAGCUACAGAGAAGGCCUGCCUAUGAGUCACCACCAGACAUACCAGUGGUAACUGGAGCUGGACCUCCUCAGAUGACCUUAUCGUGCUUGUGUGGAUCAUGCAGAAGAAGGUGCUCUCUAAGGAUAAAUGAGCAUUGAAGGCUGCAAAAAACUGCUCCCAUAAAAAUCCCCCAAGAUGAUGAAGUGGAAAACAAAAUCUCGUUUUCAUUAUCCCUAAGCCUUCGCAUAUUUAUUCUAUGGAGCCAAGUGGAGGAUGCUAACCAUAUACUCACUGAUCUUCUCAUGCUUGGAGGCUGAAAAACUGGACUUAUUUGGGUGAUGAGAAAGAAUGUUGCAGUCUUGAAAAACUAAAAAUUAACAAAUCGCCAGAUGCAGAUGUCAUCCACCCAAGAGUUCUGAAUUAAAUCAAAUGUGAAAUUGCUGAUCUCCUAGCAAAAAUGUGUAACUUGUCCCUAUGAUCAGGCUCUGUACCAGAGGAUUUUCAAAAGGGAAUCCAGGAGGGAUCUGGGAAACUACAGGCCAGUCAGCUUAACGUCUGUGCUGGUGCAGACUGGUUCCAGGUGAAAAGAGGACUCCAUGUAAUCCAGAGCUCUCCUGUGAAAACCAAAGUCUUUUCUGCAUCCACAGUAUAUCUUUGGAUUCAAGUCAAUGUUAGGGAUCCAAUUUAAAAUCAACAGCCUUGAGACUAAUGUACUAUUUACUGAUAUUGUUUGCUGUGUUGUUUUAAUUCAUACUUCCUGGGCUGGGUGCAGAGCAUCUGUGCCUCUAGUACUCCCGCCAGCCUGCCCCCGCCACCGUUUUCUUUCCGCAACCGCCCACCGUCGCCAUCAUUUUCUUGCCCGCCCGCCACUGCCGUUUUCUUCCCCUUUUCUCUUCUAGGGUUUUUUAUUUUUUUAUUUUAUUUUUACAUUUCUAUACCGCCUUUCGUUAAAAGAAAACCCCAAGGCGGUUGCCCCGGGACUCUGGAACACAUUCCCAAAUGAUAUCAGAAUCUCCCCCAUCUCUGGUUGUUUUUAACCAGCUUUUGAAAAUACAUCUGUUUCAUCAGGCUUUUAGUUUAUGAUGUUUUAAAGUGUUAAUGUUUGUUUUAUGAUAAUUUUAAUCUGGUGUUUUAUAUCAUUUUUAGAUUUUAGUUGGUGUUUGUUUAAAUUGUAAACCACCUUGUGAGUCUACAUAGGGCUGUAUAUAGACAAAUUAAAAAUUAAAUUAAUGUGCUAUAGCUACAUUGGUGCUAGAGAUAGCAAUAUGGUAGUUCUACUCAUUGUGAUAAUGGUAAAAUAUUCUGCCACAACAUA